AAGUCGUAACAAGGUUUCCGUAGGUGAACCUGCGGAAGGAUCAUUAACAAAUUCCAAUUAAAUUUAACCCUGUGUGAACCGGUCACUGUGUUGGUAUUAUGCUAACGCAGUGAUGAGCAGAGGUAGUUGUCUUCGGAUAGCUACGUCUGCUCGCCAUAAACGCUUCAUUGUUGGCUGUUAGUAUAAUAUGCGUGUAGUUGUAAUAGAUUGCAUGUAUAAAAUUAAACUUUGACAACUUUUAACAAUGGAUCUCUUGGCUCUU
rnacentral:misc_RNA from 1 species